rnacentral:rRNA from 1 species
AAUCCUAGAGAUAGGACGUCCCCUUCGGGGGCAGAGUGACAGGUGGUGCAUGGUUGUCGUCAGCUCGUGUCGUGAGAUGUUGGGUUAAGUCCCGCAACGAGCGCAACCCUUGAUCUUAGUUGCCAGCAUUCAGUUGGGCACUCUAAGGUGACUGCCGGUGACAAACCGGAGGAAGGUGGGGAUGACGUCAAAUCAUCAUGCCCCUUAUGACCUGGGCUACACACGUGCUACAAUGGACAGAACAAAGGGCAGCGAAACCGCGAGGUUAAGCCAAUCCCACAAAUCUGUUCUCAGUUCGGAUCGCAGUCUGCAACUCGACUGCGUGAAGCUGGAAUCGCUAGUAAUCGCGGAUCAGCAUGCCGCGGUGAAUACGUUCCCGGGCCUUGUACACACCGA